CUACACUAUUCUUUUCACCCUUAAGGAUCUUUCCAUUCACCCAGGCCCCUAAGAAUCUGCCUAUUCAUCCUGAGCGUACCCCUUAACUGAGAUCCUAAGAACCUGUCUAUUUACCCAUAAAAUAUCUGCCCCUUAAAGGACCACUAUAGUGCCAGGAAAACAUACUCAUUUUCCUGGCACUAUAGUGCCCUGAGGGUGCCCCCACCCUCAGGGACCCCCUCCCGCCCGG